rnacentral:tRNA from 1 species
GAUAAAGUGGCUGAGAUAAGCGGUAAAUUGUAAAUUUAUAAACGAAAUUGAUAUUUCCUUUAUCA